AUGAGAAUAUCAGCCCUUGUUUAUUACUAUUUUGUCGAUGGCAAUAAAAUAAAAUAUGGCGGGCGCGGCCAUUAUUAAGGGCUUCUGUUGUAUUAGAGAGAGCACGCUGAAAACUGUUAAGAAGUUAUUUGUUUUGCUAUCAAAUAAUUACUGAAAGGCUAAAAUGCGACGUAAAAGUGAGCGUACCGCAAGCAAAAAAGGGAAGGCUUCACCAGAGAAAAAGGUUGAGAAGGUAAAACGUACUAGAACUAGACGUACUAGAAAGCAGUCAUCAUCUACGGAGAACGAAUCUGCUGAUGAAGGGAGUCCAGUUAGGGAAGUUGAAAGUGCCGGUGAUGCAGAAAAGAAGCCACCAGUAACACCCGCUAAAGAAGACAGCCCUGAAGAAGCCCAGGAUCAAGUGUGGCGUGUUAAAACUACUGAGGCCUCUGGUGAUAUUAAAAAACUGAAAAUAUGUCUGACGCGACCGCCAUCUACGCCAGAAAGAGUCGAUAGAUCUCCACGUAGCAAAAGAAAGCAUUCCCGCGCGACCAGCUCUAGCGAUACUCCAAGUGUAGAGGGUGUGGAUGAUAAAAAGAAGACUAGGCAUCGCUCCAAACGGUUAGCUCGAGACUCUAAAGAGGGUUCUGAAAAGAAUGACAGUCAUGGAGAAGAGGUUGAACAUCAAGAUCAUGAUAAGUCUAGUGACGAAGUUACUCAGAGCGAGACAGUUGAAGAAACCGAGACUCCCAUGUCUACUACUAAUGAAGAAACAAAAGUUACUGAAAAUUUGAUACAAUCCAGUCAAGAAGUACCUGAAAGUAAUGAAACAUCUAAGGUAAUUGAGACCCAGGAUACUGAAAAGGCUUCUGAUGCUGAUACAACUGUUGCUUCACCUAAAGAUGAAACAAGAGUUGCAUCACCACCAGCAGAACCAAUUGUUGAAUCUAACACUGAUAGCCAAGAAGUACAACCAUCUGAUAUAACUGAGACCAAAAGUCCUGAACAUGCUAAUGUCACAGAGAAGGAAAGCCCAAUCCGUCAGAGAGAAGAGUCUGUUGAGAAGUCCGAAGUUCUAGAAUUGCAUGCUGAUGAUAGUAAAUGUGAAUCUUCCGAUAAUGAGGCCAGCCAAUCUAAAGAGGAACCUAAGGAUGAACCAACAGUCACCCAAGAAGAGACCACUGCACCUGAAGAACAAAAGGUAAGUAUAGUAAAUGAAGAAAGUAUCAGUAAGGACACUGAGAAAAUUGAUUCUGAUGGCAAACAAGCUAUUAAUCAACCUGAUGUUGUAGAGAGUUCUGACAAAGUAGCAAAAGAAACAAAUGAACAAGAAAUCACUACCAAAACGGAAGACCAACCGCCUGUGGAAAAACCUAAAGAUGAAACUGAACAAGAACCUAAUAAGACAAAGGAGCCACAAACACCAAUUGAAUCUGUAAAACCUACAAAAGAUGAGCCUAUUGCUAAUGGUCAAACUGCCCCUGUUUCAGUGGGCAGGAAGAGAAGGUGGGGCUCCAGGAGCUCUAAACUUACAACCCAAAAGUCAAUAACAAUAUCUACAGAUGUGUUAAAGGAUAUUAUUCCAGAUGUGAAGCCCGUGGAGUUUGAUGAAGUUAUAGAAGAGAAAAAACACAAAAGAACAGAAAAUCAGGAAAGAAUUGAGAGACCUGUGCUUCCAAAGAUUAUAAUUGAUAAUACAGAAAAUGUGGAAUUGAAAAAGGAAUCUGAGGAAAAGGAAAAAGACCCUCAUACUCCUAAGCCAAGAGAUUUAGCUUCCAAUAGAAAAAUAUCUAUAAUUAAAGAUAAUGAUAGUAUAAUAGCAAGACCUCCAAGUCCGCCUAGAAAUAAACAGUCCUGUAUAUUGUAUAUCACUAAUUUAGUGAGACCAUUCACAUUACCACAACUGAAAAAUCUAUUACAAAGAACUGGAAGGAUUACUGAGAACGGAUUUUGGAUAGAUAGGAUCAAGUCAAAAUGUUUUGUUCAAUAUGAAACUGAAGAUCAAGCAGUAGAGACGAGGCAUGCGUUACAUGGUGUUACAUGGCCUGUCUCAAAUCCCAAGACACUCCAAGUUGACUUUUCAACACAAGAGGCUUUUGAUAAGGCAAAGAUAAAUGAAGAGACAGACACUGCACCAGUUUCAACAAUCCCUGGAACUGUGGAGGACUGGCUUCGGGAGCAAGACAUGAAGAGGGAACGUGGGGACCUGGAAAAGCCAUGGGAGCGGAAGACGGCAACUCGGGAAUGGGAUCUUGGCAAGAAUGAUAAAGAUAAGGACAAGGAUAUUAAGCUAAGGCGUGACGAACGUCCCAUUGAUAAGAGACGGCACAGAUCGCCAGAAAAGAGUCCAGAACCAGCAAGGAAAUUCAAGAAGAAAGAAGAAGAAGCUCCCGCUAAGCUGUUGGAUGACUUAUUUAGAAAGACUAAAACAACUCCAUGCAUAUACUGGCUGCCGCUCUCAGCUGAAACGAUAGCAAUAAAGGAGGAACAGCGGCGCCAGCACAUGGCGGAGCACGAGCGCCGGCUGCAGGAGCUGCGCCGGACGCACCGCCGCCACUAUUGUGUUGGCGAUUACAAGCGCCAACCACUAAAUUUUGGUGUAGGACAGAAAUCCAGCAUGGCGCGGGCUUCAUGGUGGUGCUUGCUGGCCGCGCUGGUGGCGACCGCCACUGCCCAGCAGAACUUCACCAUUGGCGACUUCCUGUCUGGACAGUUUACCCAAAGGGGAUUUACCGGUAGAUGGAUUUCGGACUAUGAGUUCACAUAUACCGUCGCCGGAGAACCCGGUAUCUACGUGUUCAAUGUCAAUACUCUGACCGGCAGCGUCCUGGUACCUGGGGAGCUGAUGGAAUUCCUGAACACCAACAACCCAAUCUUGUCGGCAGACAGGCAGUACAUUCUGGCUUCAAGCGAAGUCGAGUCGGUUUACAGAUACUCGACAACAGCCAAGUACUCCCGCUACGAAAUCGCCACGAACACUGUCACUCAGAUCGCGAACCACCAGCGCCUGCAGCUGUGCAUUUUCGGCGGCGGUCACUCCCUCGCCUAUGUCCUGGACAACAACGUGUACUAUCUCCCUGAGAACAGGCAGGAGGCUAUUCAGAUCACAACUGAUGGCAUUCCUGGGGUCUAUUAUAAUGGACACGCUGAUUGGGUGUAUGAAGAGGAUGUGAUGUACACCGGCCAAGCCACAUGGUUCUCCACUGAAGGUUCGUACCUGGCCUUCGCGACUUAUGACGACACCGAGGUGGAGAGCUACUCCUACUACUACUUCCUGGACAACAAUGAUGAAGGACGUCUGUACCCUGAGCUUGUGGACCUCAAGUAUCCUAAGGUCGGCCGCAAGAACCCAACAGCAAUUCUUCGCGUGGUGAACCUAGCUAACUUGGUAGCGACGAACACUCCGACCUUCAUAACCCUGCAGCCGCCAGAGGCUGUUACAAAAGACCAUAUCCUCGGCGGAGUGACCUGGAUCACUGAUACGGAGAUCGCCACACACUGGCUGAACAGGCGACAGAAUUACACCGUGUUGAGGAUUUGCAAUAUUGUUACUUUGGAUUGUGAGGAAGAGCAUCGCCAACAGCCCAAUGGCUGGGUUCCCAUCGCGUUACCCCGCUUCAGCAGUAAAGGUGACUUCUUCGUGUCCACCCGCUGGUCCCUACCCCAGGCCGAUGGUAACAUCUGGCAGCAACUGUACGUGAGCAUCCGCGUCAAUGGAGAGAUCAUCUCGAGCUCCGUCACUCCUGGCGCCUUUACCGUCAAUAAUUACAUCGGCAUGGAUGAAACUACGCUGUCUUACUACUACACACGCACAGUGACAGGCGAGCCCUGGGAGACGCAAGUCCACGUGACCGGCGCGGGCACGGGCUGCCUCAGCUGUGACCUGGAGAUGCCUGACGGAGGCCGCUGCACCUGGGCCACCGCCACGCUCAGCCACGGCGGCUCUUACAUGACCAUCACCUGUUCCUCGAAUGAAGAACCUUCGGCUACUUUCAUUUAUAAUCCUAGGACAAGACAAGUCCUAUACACCUGGGAAGACAACGCCAUCGUUCGCCAACGCCUCGUAGGCAGAGCACGAUGGCAGAGCAUCAUCACCACCGUGCCCCUGCAGAACGGCUUCCCCGCUCCCGUGAGGCUGCUACUGCCCCCAGGCUUGGACGUCAAUGACACACUCACUAAAUAUCCUAUGAUAUUCUACGUGUACUCCGGCCCUAAUACUAAUACUGUGUUCAAUACUUUUACUGUUGGUUACCACUCAUACCUGACGACGAGCCGCAACAUCAUCUACAUGUUGGCCGACGGGCGCGGCUCCGGCCUCAAGGGACAAGACAUCUUGUACUCGCUCAACAACGCGCUCGGAACUGUCGAGAUUGAGGACCACUUCGUUAUUCUCAGACAAGUCCUAGACCGCUACCAGUUCAUAGACCGCUCGAGGGUCGGUAUCUGGGGCCACAGUUACGGCGGGUACGCCACGCUGCUGACUCUACUCCAUGAUGACGAGCAUCUGUUCCAGUGUGGAGUCUCCGGAGCUCCUGUGACCUCAUGGAUUUAUUAUAACACGAUGUACACAGAGCGGUACAUGGGUCUACCCACCGAAGAAGACAACCUCAAAGGUUACCAAGACGGUGACGUGAACCUCCUUGCUGAGAAACUCCGCGGGCACGACUUCUAUCUCAUGCAUGGCAACGCUGACGAUAAUGUGCAUUAUCAGAACGCGGCCAAGCUGAUGCGAGCUCUGCAAGAGUUGGACAUUCCUUUGAACAGAUGGUGAGAUUUUUUAAUUUGGAAGUUGUCAUACCCUGAUGAAGCUCACAGUUUGGCUGGAGUGAACCCUCACAGGUAUAGUGCGAUGGAUCGCUACUGGACCCGUUGUCUAAGGCUAGAGGAUUGGUACUAAACUUAACUCAAUUAAUAAAUUUAAAUAUUCCAACAGUUCGUAAAGUAUCAAGAAUUUUAAUAAUACAUGGUAUUUUGUACACUGUUGACCGUAUCACUUUCCAAUUCAACAUGGAUGAAAAUUGUACAUAAUAUACAAAUAUUAUAUAUUUAUUUUGUUCAAAUAAUAGAUAAGUUUAAUUUUAUUAUAACAUUUUUCAAUAAAAUAUUUUGUAGA